GACGAACGCUGGCGGCGUGCUUAACACAUGCAAGUCGAACGGAAAGGCCCUGCUUGCAGGGUACUCGAGUGGCGAACGGGUGAGUAACACGUGGGUGAUCUGCCCUGCACUUCGGGAUAAGCCUGGGAAACUGGGUCUAAUACCGGAUAGGAGCCAUUUUGAGUGUGAUGGUUGGAAAGUUUUUUCGGUGUAGGAUGAGCUCGCGGCCUAUCAGCUUGUUGGUGGGGUAAUGGCCUACCAAGGCGGCGACGGGUAGCCGGCCUGAGAGGGUGGACGGCCACAUUGGGACUGAGAUACGGCCCAGACUCCUACGGGAGGCAGCAGUGGGGAAUCUUGCACAAUGGGCGCAAGCCUGAUGCAGCGACGCCGCGUGGGGGAUGACGGCCUUCGGGUUGUACACUCCUUUCGCUAGGGACGAAGCUUUUUGUGACGGUACCUAGAUCAGAAGCACCGGCUAACUACGUG
rnacentral:rRNA from 1 species